GCCUCUGUAGAUCAGGGCAGAUCACCUCGAAUUGUUAUGAGAGUACACAGAUAAUUAACGAGGAGAUGUGGGUUCGAAUCCCGCCGGAGGCC